AUUUUCAGCGAUGGAUGUCUUGGCUCGCGCAACGAUGAAGGACGCAGUGAAAUGCGAAACGCAGUGUGAAUUGCAGAAUUCAGGGAAUCAUCAGAUUUCUGAACGCAAAUGGCACCUU
rnacentral:rRNA from 2 species